rnacentral:rRNA from 1 species
UACGUAGGGUGCAGGCGUUAAUCGGAAUUACUGGGCGUAAAGCGUGCGCAGGCGGUCUGCUAAGAGAGAUGUGAAAUCCCCGGGCUUAACCUGGGAACUGCGUUUCUAACUGGCAGGCUAGAGUGUGGCAGAGGGGGGUGGAAUUCCACGUGUAGCAGUGAAAUGCGUAGAGAUCGGGAAGAACGCCGGCGGCGAAAGCGACUCUCUGGUCGGAUCCUGACGCUGAGGCGCGAAAGCUAGGGGAGCAAACGGG